CUUUCGCUUAUAUUAAUAUAAGGUUUUGAUAUGCUACGGUUUAUGUGUUAAGCUCUUAUUGAGAGAGAGGUAGACCCACGAAACAACUCUCCCAAUAAAAAUUUGGACAUGUCGGGCACGUGGCUCCCCCACAUCAGUUCUCUAUUAAUAUAAACCCUUUUCUUAACUUAAACGAAACCGUAGAUAAGACACAAUAAAGUGAUUAAAGUCCACGAAGAAAAAUCAUGAGGAUGAUUCCGCGGGGUUUCCAUUUUCCAAAAAGCUGGUUUUGGGAUUCUUCAUGUCUUCUCUCUCUCUCUGCUUUUGCAAAUCUUUUAAUGCACGGCUCAAUAAAAUAGAAGACACCCAUCACGACGCUAAAAACUCUUUAUUUUUCUAUAAUUUAAAUUUCCAUCAACCGUUGGUUUAAUAAUAAAUUAUUAAUCAACUUUGCAAUCUUUUUAAUUUCAACAUUAUGAUUUUGCUUUUACUCUCAACCAAGUUGGGUUGAACAAAGAGAUAGAGAUGCCUCUGGGCUCCCUAUACUUUCUAUUAUCAACAAGAAAAAAAAGGCUAUCGCUAGCUCUUUUAAUAAAUUCACUUUCCCUUCAAUAAUUCUAAAAGGCAGUUCCCAUUUUGAUUCCGGCUGAGGAACUCCACCUCUAUCGAUCAUCAUGAUUCAUAUAAAAUAUAUAUGAAAUGCAAAACUUAAUGAAACUGUUGCAUGGCUUUGCCACCCAACUAAUGUUUAGUCUUACUACAUGCAUGUUCAUGACUAGCAAUAUUCUAAAUGUCAUUUGUUGCAUACUCAAAUUGUUUAUAACGAUAAAUGACACAAAAAUAGAACAAAAAAAAAAAUAAUAAUAAUAAAGAGAGAGAGAAGAGAAGAAGAGAACUUGGUUAAUUCGAAAAAUUAUAAGCCUCUAAAAGAUAUUGUUGGCACUUCAAACGAACAAAUUGAUCAAGCUAUAGACAAAAUAAUAUUCAGAAACCUCUAAUAACAUUAGGCUUUAAUUAAAGCUUGGUUUAAGAUUUCGCAUCUUAAAAAUAGCAAAUAUAAAAUAUGUUUCUCCAUCAUGCUCUAUGACUUUAUAUUAUAACUCCACACAAUAAAGUGCCACUACUUUUUAACUAAUUAAAAAAUAAAUGAACUGUAAAAUAUAUAGUAAAUUAUUACAAAUAAAUAAAAAUAGAAUUAUUAAUAAAUUAUUACGAUGUGUGGUAUCAAUAUUUCUGAAUAUGUAGCAGAAAGAUGGAAGAGAAGCUAAUUUUUUUUUGGUUUUUACCGUAUUAUAUAUACAGGUAAUUAUCAACUUAAACUAAAUUGGUCAAAAGCUAUUUAUAACUUUAAUUGUUCAAAUGCUGGAAAAAGAAAUAGCAUAUUCUUGUUUCUCUGCGAAUUUACUUGAAAAGAAAAAAAAAUACAUAGAAAAAAAAAGGGUCGAAUCUUUCAUAUUAUUCUCUUCGAUUGAGAAUCUACUUAAUUUGGAUUUUAAGAAAGAUAUCAUAAAACACGGGCAAUUGAAUAUUCGGAUACAUAAAGGAUUAACUGAAUAUUCAUAUGGAACAUAAUUUUCUUUUGUCCAUGGCCCCUAACCAUUUCUACAAAUGGGGCAUGCUUAUUGCAUAGGGGAGUUAUGUUUCUUGUCAUACACAGUUUCAUAAAUACUUUUAAUAAUUAGAGACGGAACUUUGAUUGAAUACACAUAUAAAAUUAUAGUAACAGUAUACCAAAUGAAAUUUGAAUUAUUAGUCUGAUAUCGCUAGAAUAUGUAUAAUAUUACUAAUCGUAGAAGCAUCCAGAUAUUUUAUAUAAAGUGGCUUAAUCUUUAAUAAUUGGACUGCAAAAUUCAAGCAUGAACUUUUGUAUAAAAGGGGCAUGCAUGACAACAGCCAGUGGCAGCAGCUCACUGUUAGCAGUGCCAUCAAUCACGCACGAGAUUUGUUAUAGGGCAAAGGCAUUAUUGAUUUGAUCCCACGGUUUAGAGAUGCAUGUUCAAACAAGAUAUUCAAUCUGCAACAGUAAAUAUAUCUGUUUUUACUGAUAGGCCUUUGGUCCAAUGGGAGAACUCUUGCACUUACAAUAUUGAGUGUAAGGGUUCGAGCCUCCAUAAAAGUAUUUAUGAGGGUUAUUUACAAUCCUCACUCAAUUAUCAAAUAAUUGAGUAGAACUAGUCUAUCCCUCACGAAAUGUGAGUGGAGUGGCCAACUCUCGAAUAUUUGAGAGGGUUUAAAGAAUCUGAGCAGCGCUUCAGAGGAGUAUAUGCCACGAAAAAGGUCACAAUUGUAGAAUCUGUUUGUAAAUAUUAAUU
rnacentral:lncRNA from 1 species